rnacentral:rRNA from 1 species
UACGGAGGGUGCCAGCGUUAAUCGGAAUUACUGGGCGUACAGCGCGCGCAGGCGGGCCGUGCCGUGCCGUGUGACAGCUGCCGGCUUAACCGGCAGAGGCCAGGGUAGACGCACGACCUGGAGGCAGGGAGAGGGAUGUGGAAUGCCCGGUGGAGCGGUGAAAUGCGUAGAGAUCGGGCGGAACACCAGCGGCGAAGGCGGCAUCCUGGCCCUGACCUGACGCUGAGGCGCGAGAGCGUGGGGAGCCAACCGGAUUAGAUACCCGGGUGU